rnacentral:rRNA from 1 species
UUAACCCGGAGAUGUCGUUCAAUACUGCGGGGCUUGAGGACAGCAGAGGAAGGUGGAAUUCCCGGUGUAGUGGUGAAAUGCGUAGAUAUCGGGAGGAACACCCGUGGCGAAGGCGGCCUUCUGGGCUGUUCCUGACGCUGAAGGCGAAAGCUAGGGGAGCGAACGGGAUUAGAUACCCCGGUAGUCCUAGCUGUAAACGAUGGAUGCUGGGUCUGGGGGGUGUAAAUUCCCUCUGUGCCGAAGCAAACGCGUUAAGCAUCCCGCCUGGGGACUACGGCCGCUAGGCUAAAACUCAAACGAAUUGACGGGGGCCCGCACAAGCAGCGGAGCGUGUGGUUUAAUUCGAUGCUACACGAAGAACCUUACCUGGGUUUGACAUGCACGUGGUAGGGAACCGAAAGGGGACCGACCUUCGGGAGCGUGCACAGGUGCUGCAUGGCUGUCGUCAGCUCGUGCCGUGAGGUGUCGGGUUAAGUCCCGUAACGAGCGCAACCCUUGCCCUUAGUUACAAGUGUCUAAGGGGACUGCCCGGGACAACUGGGAGGAAGGUGGGGAUGACGUCAAGUCAGCAUGGCCUUUAUAUCCAGGGCUACACACACGCUACAAUGGCCAGUACAAUAGGUAGCCAAGUCGUGAGACGGAGCCAAUCCUUAAAGCUGGUCUCAGUUCGAAUUGCAGUCUGCAACUCGACUGCAUGAAGCUGGAGUUGCUAGUAAUCGCAGGUCAGCCAUACUGCGGUGAUACGUUCCCGGGCCUUGUACACACCGCCCGUCACGUCAUGGAAGCUGGCAACGCCUGAAGCCGGUGAGCUAACCCGAAAGGGGGCAGCCGUCGAGGGUG